rnacentral:lncRNA from 1 species
AAAAAACAUUUAAUGCAUUAUGAAUUCAGGCUGUAACAAAAUGUGUAAUAAGUCAAGAGGUAUGAAUACUGACACACAGGGACACACCAUGUCUGACCUACGUAUAUAAACACACACAUGAACCCCACAGGAGGUUGGUGGCACCUUCAUUGGGGAGGACAGGCUCGUGGUAAUGGCUUGAGUGGAAUCCGUGGAAUGGUAUCAAAUACAUCAAACAUAUGGUUUAAUGCCAUUCCAUUCGCUCCGUUCCAGCCAUUAUUAUGAGCCGUCCUCCCCUCAGCAGCCUCCAAUGAUCAGCGCACAGAGUGAAACACAUACACGCAGAUAUACAAAAGACUAUAGUAUGGAUGUUCUCCUGAGGUGUGACCGUCCCACCCCAACCCCCUGACCCCACCGUCUCCACACUGUCUGAGACAGGACUACGGACCAACAACCCUCCUUCUUUCUCCACUGGGGCCCAAUGAGCCCAUAGACAGCUCUACACACACACUCACACACACUCACUCACACUCACUCACACACACACAUAUCUCUGGGGAACAGGACUGAGUCGGAUGAACUCACUCUGCUUCAGAGGUUUCAGUGUUUCUGUUUCGUUGUUUGUUUGUUAGCUUGUAUGUUUGGUUUAUUGGUUGUACUUCCUGUGAGUCGUGGGCUAAAGCGCCGCCGGAUCUCUGGAACAUUCUAGAACACUUUGGAACAUUCUGGAACAUUCAACAUUCCAACUACUGCCACCAUACCGCUGACAGCUGAGAGCCCGCUAAGGCCUACAUGCCCGCCCCUCUGGGUUUGGGUCUGUACUGGUCUGGACCAGAUCAGACCGGAUUGUAUCGGAUCUGACCAUGCAUUGAAGCACUUUUUAGUUCCCACCAACAUCACACUCAACCCUUUUCUCUUUUAAUAUGAGUCAAGUUCUUUAUAGUAUAUCCCAGCAAACAGAGGACAUCUCUAGGACAUUAAGCGAUGUUCCCAUUAGGUUUUUUUUAGGGUUUCAGCAAGACGUUAUCCAUAAGGGGACAUCAGUGCAGGUCCCGGUUUGGUCGCAGUGUAAUGUUAUAAUAUGUUUUUUUUAUGUCCACAAGGGAACUUUAUGAACAGGUUCCUGUUUGGUUCUGGCAACCGGGAACUAAACAAAACCUCCACAGGACCAUGACACAAUGUCUUGACGACCAUUUCGUGAUGUUCCCAGGAAGUCCUAAGGACACAUUUUUGUUUCCAGUAUAAGUGUGGGAAAUUAUACAGAAACAAACAGGAAGAUUUGUGGGAAAAUCUUUUGUUUUACAUUUCUGUCCCACACACAGACACAUACACACCUGCCCUCCCUUGGAUGACAAAAAAAGGAAUCGAGAAAAGCAAUGAAUGAUGGGGGGGGAAUGGAAUUUUGCCAAAAUGAUCGUUUCCCUUUUCAUCUAGAAAAACAAACACUGAAAGUCAUUGCUAUAUAUGGCCUACUGGUAAUUCAAGCUCUGGGAUCCAGCCAUCCACCUGACAUUACCUCCUUCUACCAUUGGAACUCUUUAAAGGCUCUGAGAAGAAUGUAACGUUUU